CCCUGUCCCUGAGCCCCGAUGUGGCCCACCCCCUUCUCCCACCUCUGCUCCAUCCCACACAGCAAGGGACCUUCUCCAGUGAUGGGAACACGCACACACCAGGCUCUGUCCAGACCCCACAGCUGCUGCCCUUUGUCUGCCCGGAGCCACGGCGCACAGCCUAGAGGUAAAUUAAAGUCAUCAGUUCUGGGGGAAAUGAGACGGAAUGAAGACUCAGAGCCGCAGCCCCAAAGCCUCCGAGGCCCCUUCAGAAUCUCACAGAAGCCUGGGCUGCCCUUCUCACCCGCCUGUAAUUGAACCCCUUUUUCCUCAGGCAACACCAGACAAGUUAAAUUAAAAAACAUUUCUUAUUCCA